AAACGGUGCAUAAGUACUUUCAUGAAAUUCUUGACGUAAUGAUGAAAUUUGCAAACGAGAUGAUAGCACCUACAACAUCUGAUACGAAUCUGAAUAUCUAUUGUGCUAGUAACAGGUUACGAAUAAUUUUUAAGGUAUUAUUCAUUAUACUACUAUCUUUAUAGAAUUUUACAAGAAAUUUUGUUUUUCUUUCUUUUUAACUUAAAUUUAUAUAUUGGUAGGGAGCAAUAGGUGCACUAGGUGGGACAUUAAUACAUGUUGUUGUUCCUGCUAAUCAACAGAUUAUGUAAAGAGGAAGAGGAAACGAAAAUGUUAUCAGAAUGUUAUUCCGAUAUGUGCUUUGAUGUGG
rnacentral:lncRNA from 1 species